UUCAGACUCAGUCUGCAGGUGAAAUGCUGCCCUGCAAAAGUCUACUAAGUGAGCCCCAAUCCAAGAACAACUGCCUACUUUCAGAGAUCAGCUCCACUGGUGACCACACUAAGACCCUGACUGCGACCUCACGAAAGACCCAGAGCAGGAGCCACUCAGCCAAGCACUUCUGGACCUCUGGCCCACAGAAACUGGGAGUGAUAUUGAACCCUGGCUCUACCUUGUCUCUGCUUCUAAUGGUACAUUCUGCGCCAGGCAGAGUGCAGUGAGCCACGCUUGCCCUGGACCACACCCUUCACUAGCCAGCGAGUCACUAGCAACAUGACCUCAAGUGUGCCUUUUCCAGGACAGCUUCUGGACCUGUAGCUGUGGAUGGUGAAGGCCUUGAUAACAUCAUUUGGUACUUCUCUAUCCACUCUUGUUGCAGGCCCUGCAGAUGUUAGGUGCUGGUCUGGACACAGGUGGCAAUAAUUUCCGGUCUCUACUGCAGUCGUUAGAAUACCUCUGCCCCCUGGUGGCCACCUCUGGUAAGACCCAUUGUGGAGACUGGGAGGACGUGAUUGAAGCAGAGGCCUAUUUAUGGCUCAUUUUCAAGUAGUU
ensembl:lncRNA